UAGUGGCGAACGGGGUGAGUAACACGUGAGAAACCUGUCCCGAAGACGGGGAUACCCAUGGGAACCCGUGGAUAAUACCCGAUCCCCUCGUUGCGGUGCAUGCCGCGACGAGGAAAUGCUCCGGUGCUUCGGGAGGGUCUCGCGACCUAUCAGCUUGUUGGUGAGGUAACGGCUCACCAAGGCUUCGACGGGUAGCUGGUCUGAGAGGACGAUCAGCCACACUGGGACUGAGACACGGUCCAGACUCCUACGGGAGGCAGCAGUGGGGAAUCUUGCGCAAUGGGCGAAAGCCUGACGCAGCGACACCGCGUGGGGGAGGAAGGCUUUCGGGUUGUAAACCCCUUUUCUCGGGGAAGAGUAAGGACGGUACCCGAGGAAUAAGCCUCGGCUAACUACGUGCCAGCAGCCGCGGUAAUACGUAGGAGGCGAGCGUUGUCCGGAUUUACUGGGUGUAAAGGGCGAGUAGGCGGCUUGCCAAGUCUCAUGUGGAAUCUCCCGGCUCAACUGGGAGGGGUCAUGAGAUACUGGCAGGCUUGAGGUCAGCAG
rnacentral:rRNA from 1 species